rnacentral:rRNA from 1 species
GACGAACGCUGGCGGCGUGCUUAACACAUGCAAGUCGAACGGAAAGGCCCUGCUUUUGUGGGGUGCUCGAGUGGCGAACGGGUGAGUAACACGUGAGUAACCUGCCCUUGCCUUUGGGAUAACUUCAGGAAACUGGGGCUAAUACCGGAUAGGAGCUCCUGCUGCAUGGUGGGGGUUGGAAAGUUUCGGCGGUUGGGGAUGGACUCGCGGCUUAUGAGCUUGUUGGUGGGGUAGUGGCUUACCAAGGCUUUGACGGGUAGCCGGCCUGAGAGGGGGACCGGCCACAUUGGGACUGAGAUACGGCACAGACUCGAACGGGAGGCAGGGGUGGGGAGUAUUGCACAGGGGGAGGAAGCCUGAUGCAGCAACGCAGCGUGCGGGAUGACGUCCUUCGGGUUGUAAACCGCUGCCGCCUGUGACGAAGCGUGAGUGACGGUAAUGGGUGAAGAAGCACCGGCUAACUACGUG